UUAUUUUCUAUUUUAAAAUUUAUUUUAAGACAGGGUCACUCUAUGUUACUCCUGCUCAUCUCCAACUCCUGGGCUCAACUCUCCUCCUGCCUCAGCCUCCUAAGUGGCUGGGACUGAAGGUAUGAGCCACCACGCUGACUGGCUCUCUUGGGCUCUCUCUAAUGAGCUAGGAAGGGGCUUUGCAACUUCUGGAGACAAAAAGUCUUUUUAAAAACUUAAGCAGGUGUAGUGGUGCACAUCUGUAAUCCCAGUGCUUGGGAGGCUGAAGCAGGCAGAUUGCUGCAGUUUGAGGCCAGCCUGGACUACAUAGUGAGACUGAGUCUCACAAAACAAAAGAAGAAGGAGAAGGAAAAGGAGGAGGAGAAGGAGAAGAAGAGGUGGCAGCAGCAGCAGCAUGAUAUAUAGUCUUCAUAUGAAACCCAGUACAUACAAUGGAUAAAAGUGGCAUUCUGCCAGCACACUUUCAUUUUGUGUGCGCACGUUUUUAACACGCAUUGUAAGCUCACCAGGAGAUUGUUUUGUCUGAUGAAGCUUCGCAGCUGUAGACUGUGGGUGACAGUUGCUGGGUCCUCAGCCCUGGCGCUGGAUGAACUUCUGCUCUUUGCUUUGCCAUGCGGCCCGAAUGUCCUCGGAGGGACAGGCUCAGAACCCAGGUGGUGCGGACUCUGUUCUAGGCCUGCCCUAAACCGAGGCACGCACUCCAUGGUGCUGGUUCCCAAUGUGUGCAUAACAUAGGUAUUUUGAAGGGGUAUGCACGUUAUUCCUUGUUUUAAUAGAAGAGAAAUAUUUCAAGCCAAGAGCACAGGCUUAUCUGUAACGUGAGUCGCCUGGGGAGCGCCUAGGCUGUGGACAGGACUCAGGCAGUGCUGUAGGGCUGGCUCCAGACCACACCUGGAAGUGUCCUUGGUGCCAGCGUGUCUCAGGGUAUAUCGGGCACUCUGAGGACACAGGGACAAAUAGACCCAGGCCAGCCCUGAUGGCUCUCUGCAGAAAUGGACGCUCCUAGGCCUUUCACCUGGGAGAGGAGCAGCUCACGGUGGUCCUCAAAUAGUAAUUUUCAUAGUGAUUUAGUAUAACUUGGUCUCAAAAAACAAAACAAAACAAAACACCCCCAAACCCCAAAUCAGACAGAACACCUAUUUUUCAACAUCUACUUUCCUCUGAGAUUUUUGGGCAGCAACUCCUUUGUGUAGCUCGGGUAAGAUUUGUUUCAAGGUUCUUCCGCAGCCCCACCCCCACCGGAAGCGUGAGACUGUGCAGUUGAGGACAGCUGCUGAAGAUUGAUGACCCCCCUCUCUCUUUGUAUUCCUUGGUUUCAGAUCCCAAGCUGCUGUUGCAAAGAGACAAGAAGCAGUCGGGUCAUGUGCUAGCAACAUCACACAACUGAGGGAAUUAAAAAAAAAAACAGACUUCUCUGGUAUUUGUUGGUGAAGGCUGAAGCAGUAGGAGUAGGCUCUGGGGAAGGUGAGGAAACUAAGGAGCUGUGAGUGAGGUGCCUGAGCCAGCUCCAGUUUCUCCCUUCCCAGUGUCCUGCCAGUGGAGGGGGCUGCGUGUGCUGUUCUAUCCAUCCUUGGCUUGGGGCUUAGCAGGCAGUUUCCUGUCUCUGAGCUGGUCACAGCUUUUGGAGAUACCUGGAGGUGUUAAUGACAUUGCCAAUGUUUCACAGAGGCUCCAGGACCCCUGAGCUGCCCAUGACGGACCGUGUGGGUCCACCAGGAACAGCUGCACGGGGACCGGAACCUCCACCCACUUGCCUUCCACAGCCUGUGCUUGUCUGCUUCCUACUCAAGGGACUUUGGUGGCUCUCUCUGAGCCCUGUGAGCCUCAGUGUUCCCAUCUGUAGAAUAACGACAGUGCCGUCCACCUCAGCGUGUCGUUGAAGCUGGCCCAUAGGAAGCUCUCGGGGAAAAGGCAGCUACUAUUGUAAUGGUCUGGACUCACGGACAAUGAGGAUGUGCAUUAUCACUUAAGAAAAGUAGCCUGUGGUGAACAGAAGUCUUAAACUCAAAGCUUAGAAGGGUUGGUGAUGAUGAAGGACUGGGUCCCUUCAUCCCAGGUGACCAUGACAGUUUGGGUUUUCAGUGGCCGUGGAGUGGACAUCAGUGGAGGCUUAAAAUUGUUUGUUUUUUUUGUUUUGUUUUUGGUACCAGGGAUCAAACUUGGGACCUUGUGCUUUCGAGGCAGGCGGUGGAACCACUGAACUAAAUCCCCAGUCCAUACUUUUUUUUUGGGGGGCUUGAAAUUUAAUUGGGAAAUGUUGAUUUCAUUCUUUGGGGGAGAUUCUGCAUAUCUACUGCUGUCAUACAACUCAAGCCCAGGGUAUAGUGCAGGCCACAUGCACUGUAAUGACCUCCUUCAAAGCCACCUCUGUGUUCCCGAGAUUGAAACCCGUUGACUGAAAGACCAGAACAAUACCCUCUGUCAUUCAAUCAGGACAGCACUGUAUUGAUUCAGAAGUCACACACACACACACACACACACACACACACACGCGUCUGCGUGCGC
rnacentral:lncRNA from 1 species